UACGUAGGUGGCAAGCGUUACUCGGAAUCACUAGGUGUAAAGCGCAGGUAGGAGGUUGGAUAAGUCUGUUGUGAAAGCUCCCGGCUUAACUGGGAGAGGCCAACGGAAACUAUUCGGCUGGAGUGCGGUAGAGGUAGCUGGAAUUCCCGGUGUAGCGGUGAAAUGCGUAGAUAUCGGGAGGAAUACCUAUGGCGAAAGCGGCUCACUGGACCAUAACUGACGCUGAUGCACGAAAGCUGGGGGAGCAAACAGG
rnacentral:rRNA from 1 species